AUACGUAGGGGGCAAGCGUUAUCCGGAUUUACUGGGUGUAAAGGGAGCGCAGACGGCAUUGCAAGUCUGAAGUGAAAGCCCGGGGCUCAACUCCGGGACUGCUUUGGAAACUGUAGCGCUAGAGUGCAGGAGAGGCAAGUGGAAUUCCUAGUGUAGCGGUGAAAUGCGUAGAUAUUAGGAGGAACACCAGUGGCGAAGGCGGCUUUCUGGACUGUAACUGACACUGAGGCACG
rnacentral:rRNA from 1 species